AACUGAACAACAACAAUACAUUUAUAAAACCUAUUAUAUUUGGUUUAGAUUUGUAGUUAUCUAAAUUGGAGUUAAAUCCUAAUCUAUUUGGGAUUGGAUAUAAUUUAGAUUUAAUUUGGCAUAUAUGGAUUAUGAGUCGGAAUCUAAUUUCUAAUUGAAUUAGGAUUAGACUCUACUUAGGAGACAUGUAUUAUAAAUACAUGCUACGGCCAAAUUAAUCGCCGCGACCAAAUUAAGAUGCCACGUUCUAAUUAAGCAAGCAAUGCAUGUUGGUUCCGGACGAUCAAGAAGCCGCCGCGAAAAAAUUAAGAAGCCUUCCCAUGCUAAUUCCGUACGGCUCUAAUUAAGGGUUGCAUAUUGGAGAGAGCCAAGCUGCCGCGACCAAAUUAAAAACCCAUGCCAAUUCUGUACGGCUUUGGGUCUUGAGAGAAGCUUGUGCGCUAAUUAGCCCUAUGCGCUAAUUAAGGCCAAUGGGUGGUCCGUACCGAUUGAAGAGAGAAGCCACUUUCGGAGUUUGCUUUGUUGCGACAUUUCGGAUCUAAUUAAGCUUUGGUCUUUUGAGAGAUCUUCUUUGUACUCCGCUUUUUUUUUGACAUUAAUAAAGUAUUUGCUCCGUCUUCGCCUAUGGACGUAGGCCAUUGGCCGAACCACGUAAUUAUCGGUGUGUUCUUUCCUUAUCUUUUCUUUUCUUGCAUUAAAUUAUUUUCUGGAUCUAUUUUUCGCCAUUCCGAUUUUAACAAANN
rnacentral:lncRNA from 1 species